GGUUGCUUGUUUUGUAAGACACUUAAUAUUCUAGUAUUAACGUAACUAAACAGAGUUUUUAAAAAACUCCUCCGAAGGAAUGCUUUGAAAAGGCCAGAUACCGUAACAACCCUUGAAGCCAGUCUCACAAGAAAGGCCAAAGAUGGACAGAGCAAAGAGAUGAACUACUCCCUCUUUCCCUCAAAGGUGUUACCGAAAUUCAAGGCUGAGGUACGCUGGCAGGUCAAUGAGAGGAAGUCCACACUACUACUAAGUGUAUUGGCCUCUUUUCAUUUUCAGAAUGAGUACAUCAGGCUCCAAACCAGCACCUUUAUGAGUGCUGACGCCUCCUAAUUUUUUUAAAGACCUCUUCAGGGUUUAGACACUUUUGUUUAUUUGCAACAUCUGCUCAGCACAGUACUGUAAACAGGUUAUAUUAGCUACUAGAGAGGAUCCCCAUCAAGGUACCCAACACCACUACAUAGUUUUGAUUAAUAUUAGUCAGCUAGGAUUUAUUUUAAGUGAUCAACGUUCAAACACACAAGAAAAAAACUCCAUGUGCAAGCUGAAGGCUAGCGGACAAUACGUUAUGUAUAAAAACUUCUACUGCAUUUACUGUUCUUUAAAAACAAAGGGGCAAAGUGUUUUGAAAAACAGACUCCAAUACCUUUAGUUCAUAACAAAGAUCAAUUACAAAGAAAAAAUUUAAGAUAUAUACUAUGUUUGGUCACUUAAGAUAUGCAGGGGAAAAACUAGCAAAAGCCGUACUGCAGUUUUACAGCAUGCUUCUUUACAACAAAUGCAUAAUCCACCUAUGAAGACCUAGUUUCAGAUUAUAUUCAGUUUCAAGCGACAUAAGUGAUCUAGUAAAUCCCUCUCUGUCCAUAUCACAAAACUUCCACAUAUAGAGAUUUUUGCUUUGCGGAUGUCUAGUAAUGUCUAGACAGGAGUGGUGCAAGUCAAAAUUAAGUGGAUAUGGGAAAAGUUGCAGAAGAAAAUUCUUCACCUAAUUUCUUAAGGUGCAACACCACUGUCAUUCUGUCAACACCUAAUUCUUUUUAAAUUUCAAAAAUAAUUUUGCUAUCAAUUUAUCACUUUUCAAUAUUAAAAUAUACUGCUAUAAACCAAGCAGCUGAAAAAUGACAAUCCACCAUUUUGUUACUCCUAUCUCUGCAUAAAGAGUUUGAUCUGAAAUACUGGGAUAAACUUGUCUUGUGUUGCCCUGGGAGAUCCAGAUUAUAGCAAAUGAGUUUAAAUCUCAGUCUUCCAUCUCUGAUACAGGCAAUAUGUACCAGAGCACCUUCUAAAGUCAACUUCUUUACUUUUUUUCUUUUUAAGAUUAAAGAGACUUGUGUACUUAUAUGUUAGCGUUCAGCAAGGUAUUAGUUAAAUGUACGUCUGCACAUGAAUGCCUGAAACAAGCCUUGAAAACUGUAAAUAACUGUACAGCAUUAGUACUUUAGUUCUAAGCAGUAUACAAUUUAAAAUAAGAAAAAAAUGUCAAGCAGUGUUAAUGGGAUCUUGUGUUUACUUUGAGAUUCAGUUCAUAGCAGAUGGAAAGCAAGACAUCCCCAUUUAAUAAUAAUAAAAAAUUAGAGAUAUUUUCUGCAAUAAACUAACUGGACUCACCUUAUGACAAUCUGAGAUGUGCUACUUGAUCUAUUCUGCACAUCAUGACUAAGUGCAUUAGAGGUGUCACUUUUUGGAAAAUGACAUUAGCACACUCCUGCAAACAGUUAUGCACAUGUAUAACUUUAAGCACAUGAAUAAUCCCACUGAAGUCAAUAGGACUACUGACACACCUGAAGUUAAAACACACGUAACUGGUUGCAGAACUGGGGCCUAAAUAUCUUGUUCAGAGUGGACAAAAUGACUAUCUGGUCCUAUCAACAGAAUACUUUAAAUUAGCUCUGGUGAUGACAACAAGAAAGCCCUAAUAUUUUAACCAGCAUUUUCUCCCUCUCCCUGAGCUUAGUCCCCUAACAAGUCUGAAGAAUUUUAUAAAUAUAACUUUUGUAAUGUUAUGUGCUAAAACAUCAAUGCUCCGAUAUAGCCAGCAACUUCACAGCCCAAACCCUACCUGUGAAUGUUUUAAUAUAUGUUUUCUUCCUUUACCAUAAAGCAGCGGUCCCCAACAUUUUUGGCUGGCGGGCGCCAGCCGAAGGACCACUGCAGCGGUGGAGCACCCGCCGAAAUGUCGCCAAAUUUCGGUGGCAACGCCUCUCGAUGACGUCGCUUGCCAUUGACACAAGCGGCGUCAGCGAGAGGUGUCCCCGCCAAAAUUCGGGGCGAUGCCUCUCAAUGACGUUACUUGUCGACGGCAAGUGGCGUCAAAGAGAGGCGUCCCCACUGGAAUUUGGGGGGGUGACGCCUCUCGAUGACAUCACUUGUCAACGGCAAGCGGCGUCAUCGAGAAGCAUCCCUGCCGAAAUUCGGGAGCAAUGCCUCUCGAUUACAUCACUUGUCGGCGACAAGCGUCGUCAUCGAGAGGCGUCCCUGCCGAAAUGCUGAUGCGGCAUUUUGGCGGGUGCUCUCCCGGGGCGAGGACGCAGGCGCAUUAAGAUGGCACCCACAGGCACCGUGUUGGGGACCCCUACCACAAAGAAUAGUUUUUGAAGAGUUAUCGCUUAGGUUUUCCCCUGUAUAUUUUUUCAUGCCCUUGACACAUUAAUUUUUCAAGAUUGCACUAACGAUUCAGAAAAAUGUUCUGGACUCAUCAAGGGUGUCCCCCCCUACAUACACCCCUAAGUACUGGAACUAGGUGGGCUGGUGGUGCUGCUGCACUGCCCCCCGCCCUCCCAAAGUAGUAAAAACAACCCAAAUACAUGGUUUCUGCCUUCAACACCCCCACUAUAAAAAUUGGUCCAGUGCCAUUGCAUGUACCCUGUUAACUGUCCAGCUCAGAAGAAUUAAUUCCCUCUACAGCAGCAGUGUAUAGCUGUCCAUACUGGGGCAUUCAGGAACACCACAAAGUGUUCCCUUCAAUACUUUAAACCUAAAGAACUGGCUAUCCAGCACAGCCUCAACUUCUGACCUGUACAGAGAAGCACAGAAUAUGAACUUAAUUUCAAAUCAGCGUUGUGUAUGAAAAUUAACAAGUCACUUUUAGCAAUUAAUGUCUAUAGAGUUCUUAAUUUUGAUUUGUGUAUGUACACGAUUUAAAUUCCCAGAUUUGAAUUACAUCUGAAAAUUCCUUCCAAAUACUGCUUGCUCACUCAGAAGUCAAUCCUGGGUAUCGUAUUACUGAACAGACCUGGACAGAAUUUUACUUAUCUGGAACCCUUUCUAACCUUUUUUGAAUUUUCAUGCUCAGUCAAAAAGAGAAUGGAAACAACAGAACCCUGUUUCCUUUCAGUUGUUCUUUCCAGUUCAGGUCCUAAAUGUGACAGCAGUUUGUAAAGAACUUCUCUCAUGCACAUCCUUUUCUUUGACUAUACACGUUAGGCAUAAUGCCAACUAUAAAGAUGCAUGCAUUCUCAAGAGAGGACAUAAGUUGCAUAAAUUGACUAGUAUGUAUAAAAAGGAAGAGAUGGAUUAUAAAGCUCACAAAAAUGUAUCUUUACCUCAAAGUCAAUUAUCUGACUACUUUACCACAGAAAUUUGCUGGAAUAGCCAGCUGCCACAGCAUUAUUUAUUUUUAUUGGGGUAACUAAUGAUUUAGACAUAUAUAUAUGUAAGUCCCACUGCUUGACAAAGUUUGAGAAAUACAGACAAUAAAGGAACAUGGCAUGCAACAGAAACUUAAAAGUUGGCAAUUAAAAUUAGAAUGCUUUCACCCACUUUGUAUUAACGGAAGUACCUCCCUUCUAACAUCUGUACUAUAAUGAAUCUCAGCCAUUUAUAGGUGAAUGCAGACCCAAAACACAAGAAUGAUAAGUGUUUAACAAGCUCUGUCCUAAUUGCUACAUACAGAUUAACAAAAAUUAACACCACUCAGAUUUUCUCAUUUACUUGUUUGGGUAUGAGAACUGAUGAUAUAACCAACAACUUUAUAUGAAGGUUUACAAAUUAGUGCCCCCUCUGCUGGGAAUGGAACAAAUUGAUUGUAAGAGAAAUUUUAACCCCCUUAUCCCCUUGCACUUUGUGACAGAAAUUGAUUUGAAAAGAAAGCUAUAGAUGCACACACUACAUUUUAGAAUCCAAAGAACAAACACCAAAUUGUUUUAAAUGCUACAAGCCAUUUGAGCUUAAAUUUCUUAAAUUACUUUUUUACUUUAAAAGGGAUGCUCUUUAUUACACCUAAAAUUUCUUUACAACUUACUUUUGCAACAACUAAGAUUCCUAUAACUAGAAGAUUAGAAGUUUGUUUGCACACUUUCUGCAUUUGACUGCAUGUUGCAUAUAGCUACUUUCACAAUUUCCCCUAUACGAAAGGAAGUUGGUGAAUUCAUAUCCCCAAUCUGUGUGGCUCUUGUACUUUACAACAGGACACAGAAAUAACAUCUUUUAAAAUAAACAGUAAAAUGUAAUUGUAAAACCACAGGAACUGGCAGGUGGUGCACGGAGAGAAGCAGUACUUGAAACUACAUUUAAGUCUUUUUUUUUUAAAUGACGAAGUUUUAAGCUCUUGGAGCCCUUUUAUUACAAAUUAGCUAUAACAAUCUACUAUAGAAUUCUUGCUUGUAUUUUCUUUUUAGCAGAAAGAAAACCAUUAAUGGCGAUUUAAUUACAGUGAAAUGUUAAAAAAAUUGUACAGUAGUAGUUUAGGCCCAAAACUAAUAUAUUAAAGCUAUAAACUAGUCAUUUCUUUGAGAAUAUUUCUGUUCAUGUUAGUAUGCUAGCUAAGGUUAAAAUAUCUGGCUCUAUUACCAGUCUCAGACCUGAAUUCCACAAAGAAAACUGCACCAGUGUCUAAACUAUCUUUAGUGGUCAAGUCUUAAAUGAAAAAUAAAAUCCUACAGAGAACUUGCCCUUUUUAGUCUGUACCUCAAUCAGAUCCAUUUCAAGGUUUUAUUUUGAUUAAUCUUUUAUUGCUACAAACUGAACUUUCCAGACAUGGUUGUUUUCUAACAGCUUUCAAAAGCUGUGCUGUUUUAGUAGACAGGUGCAGCUAACUAUCUUUGUACAACAGAGAAUUCAAGUUUUAGUAAGGCUUUGAAACACCAAUAUUUGCAAGCAGUUUAAGUUUCUCCAACAUGCUUCAGAAUAAAUAUUCUUUUCUAUACUGCUUCCAGCUUAUUAUAUAGUGAGAUGAAACACAAGACAUACUAUAUAACUGAAGUAGGCCUUUUUUGUAACAAAAUAAAAAAACCUGAAACUAUCAGAAUACAGCCAGUGCUUUCUGAAGGGUCUGCUGACAUUUAUAUUCAGAUCCUCAUAUGCAGACACUGCACACAGCUUAUGGAACAUAUAAUAAACUGCAAUGUACAGAAUUACUGACUAACUAAAGUGAUUAAAACCAAAAUAAAAAGAAAAUACAAAAGCAAUAGAAAUCACUUAACACUUAUAUAAGCCUGGCUCUGUUAUGAUAUAAAGGGCUAUCUGGUACUUAAUAUAUAAAUAUUUUAAAAUUUGCCUAUAGUACUGGUGUUGAUAUUACAUCCACAAAAAUUAUGAAAAACUUUUAAAAAUUCUAGUCCUUCCUGGAGGGCAAUAACAUGUCUGUAUAAUCAAUCAGCUUUAUCACCUAGAACAGAUAUUUUAGUACUACAGAAGUCAGCCUACAAUCCAUUACCAAAAUUUAAACAUUUUAAAUAUGUAUAGCUUCACAGCUAUAAAACUUUUGCAAAGUAUUAUAAAAUAGGUAUCCCACCUUCUCUCUAUAAAAUACUGGAUAAGAACUAUUUUAGUUCAACUACCACUUUACCCUAGCAGAAAAGGCACUUAAUAGGGCAGGCAUAUUUAUAGGGGUGAGGGAUUGGUUGUCUUUCCCUAAACAACACACACAAAAAGGAAAGAAAGCUAUUUAAUUCAACAGAUUAUUAAAUCAAUUAGGGGAACAUCCCCCUAAAUAAACUAAGAGAUAAGCAACUGCUACUUUACAAUCCCGCAGCUCCAGCAAUUGGGUUUAAGAGCAGCAGAAUACUGCAGAGAGGACUCUAGCUAACAGCUAAGCAGAAAAAGCAGGGACUGAGUGACAAAGAGAUCGUGUCUGUCUCUCUUUCAGUCUCUGCCUCUGGUGCAUGCACCUCCCAGCAGCUCUCUCCCUAUUUAAAGGCUGAUGUGGUGUUUAAAUGGAGAGGCGGUGACGUGGGGCUGGAAAGCACCUUCCCAUCCUGGCAGAGUCUAUAUUAGAGAGCGGCAAUGGCUCUAUAUAAACAGGGCAGCCACAGGGAGGAGGAACACAAGGAUCAGGGAGACAGAAAGGCAGGGGAAGCCAUGAUGGAUCUCACAGAGACACAAACAAGGGGCCCAAGCCUGCACCGUAACCGCCCGGACUCGGGGUUUGUCGGCAGCUUUUUGGGGCUGCUGCCAUUGUGGCCUUGAGGGUCUCUCCCUCCACACCCAUGGAACAUCUGAGCCAGAUAAGGAGGAGAAAGAAGAGGACUCAGGAUGACAUGUUCCAGGAGAUGCUGCCAGUGUUGCAUCAGAGAAUGACACCAGGGCCUGGAGGACAACCCUUGCAGACAGCAUGCAGAAAGCAAAAGUGGAGAGAAAAAAGGCCCAGGAGUUCAAGCAGGAAAAGGAGAGGGAGAUGCACCAGGACAUAAUGGGGCUUCUCAGGCAACAAACAGAGAUGCUGUGGACUCUGGUAGACCUGUGCACAAGAGUCUUGUGUUGGCCUCCCUGUGCAGCCUAUAGACAACUCAAUGUCUGGACCUCCCUACACCUCCCCUCAACAUUCCACAUGGCAUCAAGGACCACUGCACUACCCCUACCACUCCACCGUGGGGAACAUUAAACACAAUCACAACUGCACAUACACUGACCUGUGAAAGAUAUGGUUGGUGUAUGUGUACCUGAAAUGGAAAUGAUUGUUCUUUCCCCUUCAUAAUUUCUGUUCCCUUAAUUUAUUAUGGUUUAUAAAGUGCUAAAUGGU